UUAUUCCUGCCCGAUGCGACAAACAGCUCGGUUGAUAUUAACCCAACACUUUCUUAUAGGGAACUUAAAAUGUCAACGUCAGGAGCAGACCUCCCGUUUUCACGGACGCUGGGAGCAUACAAAGGCGAAGACUUAGUACCCACCUGCUUUUAUUGCAGGUUAUUAUUCACCGACUGCGGUCGGGCGGGAGAUUA
rnacentral:other from 1 species